AAAAAGGUAAAUAUUAUAAAAUACAAAAAAUAAAAAUAAAUUUUAUAAUAUAAAAAAGGUAAAUAUUAUAAAAAAAAUCAAAAUUUAUUAUAGUUAAUUAGUUUUAAUUAAUUAAUUUAGUUUUAUUAGUUUUUUUUUUCUUUUUAUUAAUUUGUGUUAGUUAACUUUGGCUAUUAAUAUAUACGAAAAAAAUAUACAAAAAACACGCAUCUUUUAUUUUCCUUAGGUUGUUUAAUUAAUAAAAAAAAUCCAAAAA
rnacentral:lncRNA from 1 species